AACGCACAUUGCACUCCUUUGGAGUAUGCCUGUUUGAGAAUCUAUAAUAUUCUUUUACCCUAGUUAACCCUAGUGUAGAGAUUUGAAGCUUCCUUUUCCUUACGGGAUGGGUGCUUUUAAAUAGAUUGCCUAUGGAUUGUUUGAAAUGUUUGACAUUCUCAUCAAUUUGCAGAAAAGUAUGUGAAUGAAACCUUGGUUUCUCAUCAUAAUGCCUAUUAAUCAAACGAGAACUAGUUUUAUUCUGUCUAGAGGUUCAUGACAUAAUAAAGUCUUUAGGGACUUGAACCAUGGUCUCAAAUCAGGUAGGAAGACCCGCUGAACUUAA
rnacentral:misc_RNA from 1 species